rnacentral:lncRNA from 1 species
AUUCGCCAUAUGAUCCACCGGCAAGGGAGGACUCCAAUGGAAGGCGUCCGAUAAGAUAAGUCUUAUAAAAUAUAUAGAUUUAUGAUAAUUAAGACUGAGCUAACAGAUGAGAAUCCUAGUCAUUGGCCAAGCAGCAUUUGUACCUAAUAUAAGUCUCUGUGCAUUAAUUGGGGCCCUAACUCGGCAGGCAAAACUCAGGCGGCUGGCAGAGAUGGCCCAUGUGGCAGUAGGGCUCGGGCGGCUUUUGGCAGAAAGAUUUAUCGUAACACUAAUACUUGCAAACAAGCAUGGCUGUCUCCUGGGAGUGAGCUGUUUACAGGGACCACUGCAGAAGCUUCACUCAGGUGUCUUCAUAACAAUGCUGGACCUUAAAGGGUCCUUCCCAGAGCGGGGAGGAAUCUGACUUUAUUCAAAUCUUUAACUGAUUCUUAAAAAAGAAAAAGAAAGAAAGAGAGAGAGAGAGAGAGAGAGAGAGAGAGAGAGAGAGAGAGAGAGAGAACCAAAACAAAUAGAUAAAUCUUCACACCAGCGUUUCCACCAUAAAUUGGCUUGUAUCCAUAAAACAAAACUUAGAAAAGUAUGGCAAAGUUGGGGGAAAUUCUCCAACUGUGCAUCAACAAGAUCUUAUUAAUUUGCUCUUUGGUGUUUAUUCUGUUUUAUCACUGAGGUUUUACCUGAUACACAAAGACAAGAAAGCUGUACAUGUUAAUAGGGUAUUAUGUGAUGUUUGACCCGAGUACACUGAACAAUGUUUAAAUCAGGUCAAACGGAGUUAUAACCCCAAACAUUUUUCACUUCUUUGUGAUGAAAACUCAGAACCUUUCUUUUCUGCUGGCAUUUUGAAAUGCACAGCAACUGCUUGUUGUCUUGUCCACUGGGCAAGGACUCCUGCCCCUGUGUAUUGUAGCACUAUUCAUCAGCCUGAGUCCGGGGUCCACUCCUUUGCCUUUUUUAAAUGUUUUCAUUAGCAUAUCUUACUUACACAUAGCAAUAGGCUUUAUUGUGGUGCUUUCAUGUAUAUACACAAUGUAUUUGGAGCAGAUUCACGAUCCUCCCUCUGUUCAGCCGUUCUUGACACCCUCCCACUAAUGCCCCUUUUCAUUCCAAACAGCUCCCUUGUACUUUCACGUCUUUUAUUUUUCUUUCUUUGUGACCCAUUAGAUUGAGUGUUUCUUUGUUUGUUUAUUUGUUGAGACAGGGUUUCUCUGUGUAGCUCCGUAGACCAGCCUGGCUUCAAACUCACAGAGAUCUGCCUGCCUCUACCUCCUGGGAUUAGAGGCGUGUGCUACGACUGCCUGGCUUUGAUUGGUUGCUUUUAUAGAAGCAGAGUAAAGGACCCAGGAGCCCCUUGCCAAUUUCAUGACACAAUACUGAUGGCCUAGUCUUGUACAGAGUGUGAGAAUAUGUCUUCACAGCUGCUGUGAGUUUAAUGAUGCAAAAGGUGUGUCAUUGCCAGAAUCCACUGUCUCUCCUCCCGCGCUUCCUCCAGCUCUUACAUUCUUGCCGCCCUUUCUUCUGUGAUGUUCUUUGAGCCUUGGAAGGGGUCAUAUAGAUGUCCUACUUAUGGCUGAGCAUUAAAAAUUCAUUUAUUCUCAAUACAUAGACCAAGGAUGGCUUGGUGGCACUAUUUUAUGAGUAUAAAUAUAGCUACUUAGGAGCACUUGACAGGUACACCACCUCCAUUUAGCAAAACAGCAGUAGCUUCCCCUAGGGCCUUGACAUCUCUAAGCAUAGACUUUUGACCAGGUUAAUAGGAGCAGACAUGAAUUCCGUCCUAUGGAGCAGCCAUUGCAUCCAAUCAGAAAGUGGUUAGUCACCCCCAUAACAAACUUGCUGCUACCGCACCAGCAGGCACAUUUUGCCCCCCGUUGGCAUUGCUGGACACAGUGCCCACAGCUGAGGAAGACUAUGGAUGACAGUUUUCCUCCACCAGCCUACAUAUUACCUUCCAGCAGUGUGAGGGUUAGCUAGCAGGAAGAAAGCUUCCAAUCUAUUUCCAGCUUGACUUCUCUGUGUCCUGUGUCUAAGGCAUUUGCCAUCUUUCAACAGGAUCUUACUUGUGGGCAAUCAACCGAAGUGGUGAUCACCUGUUGUGUUGGGGGGCCAUGGGGGAUCUCCCUGACCAACAAAUCUAAUGAAGGCAGUCCACCCCUAACAUUGGGAUUUUCCUUUAGUAACUUAUGGCUUGGGGGGUAUAGCCAUCCAUAUAAGGUGGUUCCAUGCAAGCAUUUUUAUUGUGGCUUUAAUUAGCUUCUCAAAUAUUAGAUUUCUUGGUAGAUUUACUUUGAACAUAGUCUGAUAGUAAGAAACUGAAGGGUAUAACUACUUUGCAUGUAAGAUAAAGAGCCAAUCUACAGAAAUUUCUGGUUUACUUAUUCCAACUACAGUGUGCCACUUGUUAAUGACUUCUCUCAGAUUUCUUUGCUAGGAGAAACCAUUUGGCCUCAAUUACAGAAUUUCUGGAGCAUGUGUUUUGAGGGAAGAGGGGAAAAAACAAUGCUUCUCAGACUUCGAUGCACAUGGGAUCCAUCUCACAAGCUUGUUAAAAUGCACAGUUGGAAUUUUAACAAGCUCCAAGAUUACUCAGAAGCUGCCAGGCCAUGGGCAUGCAUUAGUGGCAAGAUCCUUACAUGACCAAAAACAUGGAAAAAUUAAUGGAAGAAAAUUUUUGCCUUCCUGUAUCUACCUACCAUUAAACCCAUCAGCCACAACCCAUUUCUGGGAAAACUUGGGACUAUUUCUCAUCCCUGGAAGGCUUCCCAGUCUCAGGGUGGAGGAGAACUUAUUUACUGCAGUACAAGUGAAAGUAUUGAGCAACUCCACUGCUCCUCUGCAAGUUCCUUCUCUGCAUUGGAACCAUUCCAAAGAUUAUAACGCAUCUGUUUAUCUGGUUUUCCUUGGUAAUAAUGCAAUCAUAUCAGGGGCAUGACUUCCUAGAAUAAAGACUUCAAUUUCCAGCUUCACUAAAAGAUGGAUAUGCCCAUGUUACCAAGUUCUGGUCAAUAAUAAAAUAGUACUGAAACAGAAAUAUGCACACGAGCCAUGGUUUGCAGAUGAGAAGUAAAGUUAACUUACCCCUCUAGGCAUAGCACCAACAUGCCAGUGAAAAAGCUCAUGUCCUAGAAGUGGUGACUCUGUUCCUGUCAUUAUUUCUGGAUCAACACUGUACACUGAAUAUUCCCAAUUUCAGAAAUAAUCUUUUCUUCUAAGGGUAAAUAAAAUUCCUAGCUACUGUGCUUGGCAUGAUGGUGCAUGCCUUUAAUCCUCAUCCUCACACUGGGAAGUAGAGGCAGGUGGAUAUCUGUCCAAUUUGGUCCAUAUAACAAAUUCUGGGCUAACCUGGGCUGCAUAGUGAGACCCUGUCCCAAAACAAAAACUAUAUUACUAAUUACCACAAAACACCACAGGAGAAGUAUUGCUCAGCCCUGGGCUGCAUCUGGAAAUUGAGAAGGUAAAGCAAGCCCCACACUGACAGGUAACUUGGCCCUAAUAACGGCAGUGGCUCGCCGCGGCUACACUGUGCAAGCUACACUGUUUGUGCUGAACUUCUGCUUUGUUUCUGGGAGUCUGGAAUUUCAGCACAUGCCAGGCAGAGGGUUUCUAUCUGACCACUUCCUGAUUAGAACCCUCGGGCAGUAAGUCUUUGAAUUGCCCCUUUGAGAAUAUUUUGCAUGUGUUUUCCUAGCACCUUGGUGAAGGGGCCCAGGAGGCACUCCACUGUGGCAGGACACUUGGAAGCCUAGACCCAGUCUCUUGCUGCCUCCAUCCAUGCACCUAUUUCUUUCCCUGGUUUGGCUUUGCAUUUUUUUCCUGGCCACAAAUGUCAACCUCAGUUCAGUUACAUGCUGAGUACUAUAAACUCUUCCAUCCAAAGAACUGGCGAGAUCUGCCGUCUUAAGAAUUGUGUGAGAGAGAUUGCUUUUCUAGAUUCAUAAAGGAAGUGCCCUAGCUUUCUGUACUGCUUUCUCUUCUUUCCUGGGGCAUAUCCACCCCAACCUUCCUUACUCAUUCCCUGCCAAAGUCCAAGCCCGAGUAUGGACAUGGACAAAGCUGUCAGGAGUGACACCUUCAGUUUCUCAGUCCCAGAGAAGCUGCAAAGCUUCUGUGCUGCAAAUAAACACAGCACUGCUUUGUCUGCAUUUUACUUUUAAUCCAGCUGUGUUUCCCCUACAAACACAAGGUGUGAGUGAGGCUCUUAGUGGUAUCUUAUUGAACUAAAUGCAUCACUGAAAUGUCCCUAUAAAUUAUUUACCAGAAGACUUAUCUGGUGAGGAAACGCGUUUAUCUUGUGAGUACAUGGAGGCCUUUUAAAAUAUAUGGCCAGGCACUAAACCUCAAUGCCACAUCAACAGUAAUUUAUCAACAUCACAUGAAACUGUGCAGGAUAUCCUACCUCCCGUGAAGCAUGGCCUGCUUUGUAGAAUAUCCUCCUCCCACUGAGUAAUGUGUGUGACGUACCUUCAGGUGACCUUCUUGAUAAACUGUGUAAUUAUGUUUUCACAGCAUUAACUAUUAUUUCUUUAACCUUGGAGAGUAAGAAGUGUGGGCACAGUGUUUGGCACAGGCAAUGAGUUUGGGCACGCUGGUGAACAAGGUCUUAGGUUUGCCUUAAAAUCAAGGGGCCACUGUAUACUUCACAAUCUCUCAAGCCAGCAAAGCUGCUGUGAACCUGUGCUGGAACUCAACGAACCACUGAUGUCCUAGAUGCAGGACUGGUCAAGUUCUACCCUGGUCUACCUGAUAAGGAUGUGCUCUUCAGAAGCCAGUCCAUCCCUGGGGAGCCUCUGCCACACCGGCUGGGAAAUGAAGCAUUUAGUGCACCACUUCCUCUGUCGCAUACAAUCUGUGAUUCAGUGCUAAUCUAAAGUAUGUGGCGAGUGCCAAAUGAGAGCGUACAAAUGCAUUUUGUUGGUGGGAGAAGUGUCUCGUGGGUAAAACAGGAAAAUGAGUUGGCUGUAAAAGAAAAGCACAUUCUCUAGUGGAAAGGGAACUUGAGAAUAUAGAUUUUAUCCACUAUGAGAGGUCCUCAGGAAGUGUCAGUAUGAAACAACAGCGAUUUUAAUAAUGGCCCCUCCUUAGUGAGCACUAGCUAAAGAAUAUUUUCUCAGUUGAUUCCCACAGACAUCUUAGGCAUUAUUCCCAUUUUAUACAGGGAAAAUUGGAGACAUAGAAAGACACAGAAUUUGUCUGAUCAGGAACCUGGAAGGCAAUCUGAUGCUUCAGGGACUGCCUUCUAGCCACUUUUAUUGCAAUUGUAUCUGAAGGCAGCAUAGAGUUCUUCCCCAGAAAGCACUCUAGUGUAGAUGAACCUGGCCAGAAAUGGUUUGAGGAGAAAAAGAUGGGCCAUCAACAAGAAUAAUGCCGUCUUCGCACUCCGAGUGUCAAGUAUGUGCUUUCAUGUGUGCAUCCUAGCCUUCUCCUCUGAUGUUCUGUCACAUUGCCUUUAUGGAGAUAAGAAAUUUAGGUUCAACACAUCCAACUUUUACAAGGUGAAAAUUAGUAGGAGGCAAAGCUGGGAUUUAACUUUGUCUAAAUCAAGGACCUGUUCUCCUGUGCUAUGUUGCAUUCUUGGCAAGCAAAAGAAGAAAAAAAUAAAAUAAGAUAGAAAGGAAGGAAGGAAGGAAGGAAGGAAGGAAGGAAGGAAGGAAGGAAGGAAGGAAAGGAGCAAGGAAGGAAG